UGGAAAAUCGAGAGAUUUGGUCAAGAAUUCUCGAGGGGGCUCACUUUCUUGAAAAGUUGAAGUAUUUGAAGUGGGUUGCUCAAGAUGAAUGUAUAUAGGAGAGCUAAGUGAUUGAGGGUUGGUUUGUGAUGAUGAUGUUGAGAACUCAAGCACCUACUGGAAAACAAGCACCAUGAAGGCUUCCAUAAGAGUCUCACUAUUGUCGAGGGACGAUAGAGGUUAUACUGAACUUGUUGCAAGAUGAAAAAUAAGGAUUGCUCAACAAUGGGUCUCUGUCCCGCAAUUUUCUUUCCAUGAAGAAACCAGGUUUCUUCGGAUAAGCCAGUUUCGAAUCACUGCUCAACAUAAGAACUACUGCAGACAUAUCUGGCCUGUCGACAGGAUCUUCUUGAACACACAAUAGUCCAAUAUGGAUAACUCGGAAAACUUUUAUCAGGUUACAUGACUCCAACAUCACCUCAUCGAUUACUUCUAAUAGCUUGUCGUCAUUAUAACUAUUCCAAGCCUGAAUGUUAAAAUUCAUGAUUUUGUUAGUAACUUUAGCAUUUUUGUGAUGUAUAUAAAACAAAUUGUACAUUUCAUGCAUGUUUACUUA